UAGACAUUAGUAAAAUAUAUAUUACACCACCUUGUCAGGGUGGAGUUGUGGGUAAUCAACCCCCGCAUGUCUUA
rnacentral:tRNA from 1 species